rnacentral:misc_RNA from 1 species
GUGCUCUCGAACGCCCACAUCCACAGAGACACACAGAAAAGGACUGGCGAAGACGCUUCCGUUGGCAGCGGACUUUCUCUCCCUCCCUCUCACGCCAUAUCCUCCUCCCUGUCUCACGUGUGCUUUUGCGCAGCAGAACGCGACGCAGGAAACGGAAGGUGAGAGUGGGUACUGGCCGGCCAUCUGCAGCCAGAGUGAUUUGUUCCCCACCCAACCACUCGCUCACAGUUGGCACCGCUCCAGCGUACCUUCGGUCUUCGCUAUCCCCUCCUCCUCGUCCUCCUUCAUACGCACGCACGUCUAACGCUACUGGCUCCCUCGAUCCCCCGUUUUCCUGUCUCGUCGUUUUGCAUUUCUCGGUGCUCCGUGCGGUGGUGUUGGACCCGCCGCGGUACUCCGUCGUCGUCGUCACGGCCGAGCGAGCAACAGCGAGACGAGAAGAUCGACGCGCUACCUUUGUUUUGCGGAGCAAGUGAGGAGACGCGGCAGCAGUGGCUUGAUACGCAACGGCGAUAUCGCUCGCGCGUGGACCUGCCGUGCGGUAUGUCGGCCUUGCUCUCGUUCCCAUCUCGGUCCUCUGCAGCACCUUUAGCCAUGCACCGCUGUCGGCGCACAUUCACCGCGGCUGCAGCCGCUGCUACCUCGCUUUCCGCGUCCUCGAGCACAUCGGCGGACGGGCGACCCUUAGUCGCCGAUGCUGAAGCGAUGGAAAGGUCUGGGGCAGCAGCGAUGCACAGUUUGUACAGGCGUCUCCUCAAGGCCGGCGAGGAGGGCAGAAUGAUGCAGCACUGUCUUACGGUGAACUCUCUGAGCGACAGCUUGACAUACGGACUGCGGUUACUGCGCCUGCAUCGUGAGCUGACUACGGUGGAUGCUACAGCCCAGCAAACUCCGUGGUGGCGCGUGGCGAAGCGAGCGCGCCAGGGAUUAGCACGCCGCUACUACGCGUGGAGCCUGCUGUCGCUGCGUCUGCAGCUGCGCAGCCGCAACGCGAUCGCUGACGUCCUUGUGUACUUGCUCUUCGUCACCAUGUGCUUCCUUCUCUACGAAAUCUACCGCGCAUGCCGCAUUGGAGUGAACCGGGCUGAGGAGCGCUACCGCACGCUCUCCAUUCCCAUUAUUCAGACCUUGGACGCACUCGAGGCGGCGCAGGCGCGGAAGCGUGAGCUGCGCAAGGAAAUGGAGAAGGACAUUGUGCAAGGGCGAUGAGGACAUAGUGGGUGAGGUACACGUCACAGGACAGGCACGCGCGCCCGUGCUCGCUGACGCGUUCCUUCUCCGCCUCCCCUUCGUGUGGCUUCCUCUUCCCGUGCCGUUCCCCGAUGCCUCCGGUACGCCUCAGCAGUGCUCGGGCUCACAAACCCAUCCACGCACACCGGCCCGCACACGAAAGGAUUAUGCCCCCCCCCUCCUCCUCUCUCUUCCGCCUCUUCUCCCAUCCCUCAGACACGAACACGUGUGCACAAUGUCUGUGUGUGUGUGCCCAUCUCGUAGCACACGCCGUUCACAACUCAACAUACUCGUAAGUGCAGACUAAAAAGAAGAAGCUGCAGCAACGGCGGCAAGCGGCAACGGUGACUCCGCGACGCAUCUGUGAAACGGUGGAGCAGGAGGGAAAGACCGAAAAAGACACAAGGCGAGCACUGCGUGUGCGUGCGUGGAAGGGGAACGGGGAGGGGCGCGAUGUGCACAAAUGCGUCGCCGCAUUUUUUUUCCAAACACCUCCACACCCACACCCAC